GCUGGCGGAGGCUUAACACAUGCAAGUCGAGCGCGUAGCAAUACGAGCGGCAGACGGGUGAGUAACGCGUGGGAACGUACCAUUUGCUACGGAAUAACUCAGGGAAACUUGUGCUAAUACCGUAUGUGCCCUUCGGGGGAAAGAUUUAUCGGCAAAUGAUCGGCCCGCGUUGGAUUAGCUAGUUGGUGGGGUAAAGGCCCACCAAGGCGACGAUCCAUAGCUGGUCUGAGAGGAUGAUCAGCCACACUGGGACUGAGACACGGCCCAGACUCCUACGGGAGGCAGCAGUGGGGAAUAUUGGACAAUGGGCGCAAGCCUGAUCCAGCCAUGCCGCGUGAGUGAUGAAGGCCCUAGGGUUGUAAAGCUCUUUCACCGGUGAAGAUAAUGACGGUAACCGGAGAAGAAGCCCCGGCUAACUUCGUGCCAGCAGCCGCGGUAAUACGAAGGGGGCUAGCGUUGUUCGGAUUUACUGGGCGUAAAGCGCACGUAGGCGGACUAAUAAGUCAGGGGUGAAAUCCCGGGGCUCAACCCCGGAACUGCCUUUGAUACUGUUAGUCUUGAGAUGGAAGAGGUGAGUGGAAUUCCGAGUGUAGAGGUGAAAUUCGUAGAUAUUCGGAGGAACACCAGUGGCGAAGGCGGUCACUGGUCCAUUACUGACCUGAGUGCGAAGCGUGGGGAGCAACAGGAUUAGAUCCUGUAGUCACGCCGUAACAUGAAUGUAGCGCGGGUGUUACCUUCGA
rnacentral:rRNA from 1 species